rnacentral:rRNA from 1 species
UACGUAGGGGGCAAGCGUUGUCCGGAAUCAUUGGGCGUAAAGAGCGUGUAGGCGGCCCGAUAAGUCCGCUGUGAAAGUCCAGGGCUCAACCCUGGGAUGCCGGUGGAUACUGUCGGGCUCGAGUCCGGAAGAGGAGUGUGGAAUUCCUGGUGUAGCGGUGAAAUGCGCAGAUAUCAGGAGGAACACCGGUGGCGAAGGCGGGUCUCUGGGCCGAUAUCGACGCUGAGGAGCGAAAGCGUGGGGAGCGAACAGG